ensembl:misc_RNA Metazoa_SRP Metazoan signal recognition particle RNA
GCCGGGUACGGUGGCGCGUACCUGUAAUCCAAGUUCCCGGGAGGCUGAGGCUGGCGGAUCGUGUGAGCUCGGGGGUUCUGAGCUGCAGCGGACUAUGUCGAGCGGGUGUCCGCGCUAAGUUCGGUAUCGAUAUGGUGUUCCCGGGGGAGCUCGGGACCACCAGGUCGCCUGAGGAGGGGUGCACCGGCCCAGGCCGGAAACGGAGCAGGUCAAAGCCCCCGUACCGCUCAGUAGCGGGUUCGCGCCUGUGAGUAGACGCUGCGGUGCAGCCUGAGCAACACAGCGGGACACAGUCUUUU